rnacentral:rRNA from 1 species
UACGUAGGGGGCUAGCGUUGUCCGGAAUCAUUGGGCGUAAAGCGCGCGUAGGCGGCCCGGUAAGUCCGCUGUAAAAGUCAAAGGCUCAACCUUUGAAUGUCAGUGGAUACUGCCGGGCUAGAGUCCGGAAGAGGCGAGUGGAACUCCUGGUGUAGCGGUGUAAUGCGCAGAUAUCAGGAAGAACACCGACGGCGAAGGCAGUUCUCUGGGACGGUACUGACGCUGAGACGCGAAAGCGUGGGGAGCGAACAGG